CUGAAGUCUGGUUUUGCUCCUAUUAUUUUUUAUAAAAUUGCCUUCUAAUUAGUGCAAGACACGUCUACAUUUGGGAAGCCAUUCAGUGUACAGAUUUAGAGCAACAGAUGCACAUGUGUCAGACGUACAGUGUACAAGUAAACUGUUUGUGUUAUUAUCUAUGUCUUGGUAUUUAAAUGUUGGGUCACUUAUCUAAAAAAGGCGAGCUAUUGUUCUCACAUUUGCAUGUGUCUUGCAUGGGCAAAAUGUUGCCUAGACAUUGCUCUUAAAUGUUGUCCUAAUAAUCUCAGCUGCAUUGUAAACCGUUCCUACACAUAGUGCCUUAAAUAUUUGAGGUUGUUAAUGUUACUGCAUAUAUAUAAAUGUUGAGGACUGCAGCACUUAAAAUUCAGAUCUGCUGAUUUUUUUGAUAGAGUGAUGUUCAUUUUUGGUUUUGUGUGGUAUAGUUUUUGGUAGUGGGUGUUUUUUCCUUAUCAAGAGGGCAGCAUGUUUUGCUAUGGCCAAAUUCUGCUGUCUAAUUUUUUUUUUAAUGAUCUAGCUUCAAAAAAAAUCAAGCAGUUAGUAAUGCUUAUGAAAAGUUGAUUCAGUAUCUUAUGAAUAGGUGAUAAGUAAACUCUCACAACUCAGCAUUUUAUACCGCUUAGUAGAACUGCAGUACAAUCCAAGGAGUUUAUUUUGGAAGGAUUCAGUCUAAGUGGAUUUCCUAAAAUGUUUAGAAGUGUAGUAGGUGUGAUGUGGACUAGGUAAGGAAAGGAAGUACAAAAUGCUCGUUGAUUCAUGAUGUGGUUUCAUCUUAGCUUGAGCAAACCAUGCAGUAUUUAAUAAAUAGUAGCAGAAUAUUUACUAUUGAAGCUUGAAAAGAUGUGAGUCCUUUGUGUGAAAUCUUUCAUUAUGCAUGUGAGAGCUUUUAACCGUUUUACACGAUGGUGUUUGUUUUUCGCCUGUUGGUGGUGUGUGCUUAUUUAAUACAUUCCGUCAGGGACAAGAAAUUUUUUGUGCUUUUUUUUUUUCCCACAAAGUGUGUCUUGGGUUUCUUUUUCUUCUUGUGUGUGUGUGUGAUUGUGUGUGUGUGUGUGUGAUUGUGUGUGGUUCUGUCUAAAUGAAGUUGCUUUUGCAGCACCAAAGACUUAAUCAUCCAUUUUCUAUAAAAAGGUAGCUACUUUUUGCAUAGACCUCAAGUAUAUCAUAGUUUAGAGAUGGGAUUUAGGGAAAGAUAUUAAAAUGAGGCUGUGUUUUAGCUUAUGGGCAAGUAAUAAAUUGUAUCAUUUAUCUUGAAUGUAUCAUAGAUAAGCUGCUAUAUAAUGAUUGCCACUUCAGAUAGCUGUGAAAUUAGAUGAUUAACUAGUUCUUGUUUAGCUUUCUAAUUUCUGUAUAAGUCUGAUUGAAUGAAAUAGAAGUGGGGAUUUUGAUUUAUACUUUGCUUUCUUGUUUGGCGUGUCAUUGUAACUACUGUAUUGUAAAUGAUGGAAGAUGAUUGCCUAUGUUAUUUUGGGGUGUGUUACUUGCAUCAGUAUUUUAUCAACAUUAACUUUGGAGCUCAUCGCUGCAUAUAAAUGGAAUAUAUCAAUGUAACUUAAUUAUUUUUACGUUUUCAUACUGGCAUUGCGUAGACACUUGAGAAGCUGUAUCUUGCAGGCUUGACUUAACUUUCUUUUUAAGAAACAAAAUCUGGAACACAGUCUUUAGAGCAUUUACUGGAAUAAACAGUGCAAACAAAGCAUUUGAGUUUAAAUUCCCCAAAUGUUUUGAAAUUAGAGUAUUUCUUUGAAUGAAUGAAUUUCAUACCACUAGUACAGCUGUCUUACCGAAUUGUCAGUAAGCUAAUAAGGGAUAUAUUUUUCUUUACUCCAUUAACACAAGCAGUGUUUUAUUUAAUAAAUAUUUAGGUGAAAUAAAUGUGCCUAAAAUUGAUUUUUAAACAAAAACAAACAACAGUAUUAGAUCACAAAAUAAUACCAGCAGUACAUUUUUAGAUACACUGAAAAUGAAGGAGCCUAAUUUUUCCCACAAGUUUCAGUGUUUUUAGUAAUCAACUAACUCUAUGCAUUUUAUACAAAGAUAAUUGUAUAUAAAACAAACAUCGGAAAAUGAGUAGCCUGAGAUGAAUUUAAAUAUAAUUUACACUUGUAAACAAGCAUAAAUUUAUGGAGUCAAGAAAAUAUUUAAAUGAACUUGUCAUAUACCUUCACAGUCUUAUUUUAUUUAUAUGAUUCAGCAGAUUGUUGAUUUCAGCUGCUUGGUCCUGGGAAUCAGAUUUCUCAAUGCAAAAAUCCAUUGCUGGCAGUGGUUGUGUUGGGACACCAACAGUAACUGUUUUCUUUUUGUUUGGGGCCAUGCAACUUUCAUUGCUCUGAUGUAUUUUGUUUUUUCUGUGUUUUUAAGUAGUAAGGCUGUGAUGGCAUUACAUUGACAAGUAAACUCAAAACCUUAAUGUUGUCUUAUAAUACAAUAACAUUUGUUAAAGAUUUCCCCCAGUUAAGUAUGCUACUCUUUAUGGAAUGUAAUCAUGGAAAUCUUUUGCAUUUUAAAGAAAUGCAAAAAUCUUUGGAAAUUCUUUCAUCUAAAUUAAACAAGUGGAUUUUUUUAAAAAAAAACUUCUGAAAAAAUAUUACCCUUCUUUAGAACCAUUUAUAAACAUUUUCUUUGUUGGUUUUAAUGCCUUUUUAAAUAAAACACUGCAUGACUACAGAGUUGCAUAUUUGCAUACUAUUUUUAAUUUGCAAAUUAUUUUUAUAAAAAUGCCUGAUCAAUUUUUAUCUUUCAGGGUGUUUAAUCAAAUAUGCUACUGUAUCAGCUAAAUCUUUUGAUUUUAAUGUUUUAAAUUUCUACUGCUAAUUUUAACUUGAUUUUUGUUAUGUAAAAGUUAAAUCACACUGCAAGGUGUAGGAAGAUAUUAUUUGAAUAAACCCAAUGAUGUAGACUUGAUUACUGAAUUUUAACUGUUACCUGUGUAACAAUUUAUUUCUAUGCUACACUAGUUUGUCAUGUAGCAGUUGCACUGUGCAAUAUUACAAUAAGGACUGGGAAAAAAAAUUUUUAUGGCUGUAAUGUGUCUUAGAGUUUGCGAUAGUAUUUCUCUCUAGUUCUCAGUGAUUUCAAUGUGACCAAGCCUUCUGUACUUUGUCACAAAAAGCGGGUUUUCCAAGUGACUAUUUUGGUGAGUGUCAAAAAUAAGAAUUUCUGGUGUAUCACUGUCAAGACUCACUUUGAAUUAAAACAUACAUCGCAGCAAACAUUGGGCCGACUUUUAUUUCCGCCAACAAAAAUAAUGCUUACAUACUUAAAUGAGGUCUUAUUCCCUUUAAGGCAGUCACAAAUUUGUUUGGUAAUUUGGUACCAAUACUAUAGGGAGAAUCAGGUUUGUGAAGUUUUCUUGGUGCCAAGGCCAUUGCUAAAAACUACUAUGGAAUUGAGGUCCAGGAAUAUUUCAACUUGUUCUUUUUUAUUUUUUUUAUUUUUCUGGGAUUGUAGAAGAAAUCACUUGUCUGAUCCAUA
ensembl:lncRNA